rnacentral:rRNA from 1 species
GGAAUUCACUAGUGAUUCAGGCCUAACACAUGCAAGUCGAACGGGGCUAUUUGGAGAUGUUUUCGGACUGAUCUUUUUAGUUUAGUGGCGGACGGGUGAGUAACGCGUGGACAACCUGCCUUUCACAGGGGGAUAGCAGCUGGAAGCGGCUGGUAAUACCGCAUACGCUCAAUACACCGCAUGGUGUAAUGAGGAAAGAUUUAUCGGUGAAAGAUGGAUCCGCGUCUGAUUAGCCAGUUGGCGGGGUAACGGCCCACCAAAGCGACGAUCAGUAGCCGGCCUGAGAGGGCGGACGGCCACAUUGGGACUGAGACACGGCCCAGACUCCUACGGGAGGCAGCAGUGGGGGAUAUUGCACAAUGGGCGCAA